ACUUCCCGAGAGAGAGCCGGACACUCCGGCCGCCGAAGAGGCAAACCGCAUUUUAAGCUAAAGCGGUGAAACUUUCAGGCAGAAGGAUCGGGA
rnacentral:ncRNA from 1 species